rnacentral:lncRNA from 10 species
AACUUUUCAUGGUAUGAGCUGUUUUAUAAUCUAUAAUAUGGAAUGUUUCUCAUACGAAUGUUUUUCUUAUUGAAGAAUGCCAUAGAAAUAAGGGUGUGAGGUAUACUUACUUGACAGGAGAAUUUUACUCCUUUUAUUUUAUUUACUUAUUUAUUUUUAAGACGGAGUCCUGCUGUGUUGUCCAGGCUGGUCUUGAACCCCUGGACUCAAACGAUCUUUCUCCUUGGCCUCCCAAAGUUCUGGGAUUACAGGUAUGAGCUACAGUGCCCUGAGAGUCCUUUUUAAAGUAGUGAAUGCUCAAACAUGGAAUUAAAUUUAGGCAAAGCUCACUUUUAUUUAUACAUAAAACAACUUCAGCCAUGUACCUCAUAACGAUAUUUUGGCCAAUGUCUGACCUUAUAUACAAUGGUUGUCCUGUACGAUUAUAAUGAAGCUGAAAAUUUUCUAUUGCCUAGUAACAUUGUAGUAAUUGUAAUGUAGCACAACCUAUCACACGUGUUUGUAGUGAUGCUGGUGUAAACAAACCGACUGCAUUGCCAGUCUAGUAUAAAAGUCUAGCACACACAAUUAUCCACAGUAUAUAAUAGUUGAUAAUGAUAAUAAACAACUGUCACUGGCUUAUAUAUUUGCUAUACUAUACUUUUUAUCAUUAUUUUAGAGUAUAUUUAGAGUAUAUUAAGCAGCCUUAGGCAGGUCUUUCAGGAGGCAUUCCAGAAGAAGGCAUUGUUAUCAUAGGAGGUGACAGCUCCCUGUGUGUUGUUGCCCCUGAAGAACUUCCAGUGGGACAAGAUAUGGUGGUGAAAGACAGUGAUAUUGAUGAUCUUGACCCUGUGUAGGCUUAGGCUCAUGUGUUUGUGUCUUCAUUCUUUUUUUUUUUUUGAGAUGGGGUCUCGCACUGUUGCCCAGGCUGGAGUGCAGUGGCGCGACCUUGGCUCACUGCAAGCUCCGCCUCCUGGGUUGAUGCCAUUCUCCUGCCUCAGCCUCCCAAGUAGCUGGGACUACAGGUGCCCACCACUACGCCUGACUAAUUUUUUGUACUUUUA